rnacentral:rRNA from 1 species
AUACGGAGGGUGCAAGCGUUGUUCGGAAUUACUGGGCGUAAGGGGCGCGUAGGUGGUUGUGUAAGUCAGAUGUGAAAUCCUGAGGCUCAACCUCAGAACUGCAUCUGAUACUGCAUGACUAGAGUGCAGCAGAGGGAAACGGAAUUCCCGGUGUAGAGGUGAAAUUCGUAGAUAUCGGGAGGAACACCGGUGGCGAAGGCGGUUUCCUGGGCUGACACUGACACUGAGGCGCGAAAGCGUGGGUAGC